rfam:Lichtheimia corymbifera JMRC:FST:9682, FST 9682, WGS project CBTN01000000 data, contig: SCAF00047
GCCUCCUUGGCUUAGUUGGCAGAGCGUUGGUCUUGUAAACCAAAGGUCCCGUGUUCGAUUCACGGAGGGGGCA